rnacentral:rRNA from 1 species
GACGAACGCUGGCGGCGUGCCUAAUACAUGCAAGUCGAGCGAAGUUUUUCUGGUGCUUGCACUAGAAAAACUUAGCGGCGAACGGGUGAGUAACACGUAAAGAACCUGCCUCAUAGACUGGGACAACUAUUGGAAACGAUAGCUAAUACCGGAUAACAGUAUUUCUCGCAUGAGAGAUAUUUAAAAGUUGGUUAUGCUAACACUAUGAGAUGGCUUUGCGGUGCAUUAGCUAGUUGGUGGGGUAAAGGCCCACCAAGGCGACGAUGCAUAGCCGACCUGAGAGGGUGAUCGGCCACACUGGGACUGAGACACGGCCCAGACUCCUACGGGAGGCAGCAGUAGGGAAUCUUCCGCAAUGGGCGAAAGCCUGACGGAGCAACGCCGCGUGAGUGAAGAAGGAGUUCGGUUCGUAAAGCUCUGUUGUUAGGGAAGAAUGGAUAUGUAGUAACUAUACAUGUAAGAGACGGUACCUAAUCAGAAAGCCACGGCUAACUACGUG